GAUGAACGCUGGCGGCGUGCUUAACACAUGCAAGUCGAACGGUGAAGGCGGAGCUUGCUCUGCUGGAUCAGUGGCGAACGGGUGAGUAACACGUGAGCAAUCUGCCCCUGACUCUGGGAUAAGCGCUGGAAACGGCGUCUAAUACUGGAUACGAGCUGCGAAGGCAUCUUCAGCAGCUGGAAAGAAUUUCGGUCAGGGAUGGGCUCGCGGCCUAUCAGCUUGUUGGUGAGGUAAUGGCUCACCAAGGCUUCGACGGGUAGCCGGCCUGAGAGGGUGACCGGCCACACUGGGACUGAGACACGGCCCAGACUCCUACGGGAGGCAGCAGUGGGGAAUAUUGCACAAUGGGGGCAAGCCUGAUGCAGCAACGCCGCGUGCGGGAAGACGGCCUUCGGGUUGUAAACCUCUUUUAGCAGGGAAGAAGCGAAAGUGACGGUACCUGCAGAAAAAGCGCCGGCUAACUACGUG
rnacentral:rRNA from 1 species